AACCCAUGGUGAGCACAUCCUCUCAAAAGGUCAUUGUACCUCUCUCAUGCAUCGUAGAGUGUUUCUAAAUUCAUUUGUACAAAAGAAGAGAUAUCAUUACGUAAUUU
rnacentral:snoRNA from 1 species